rnacentral:rRNA from 1 species
AUUGAACGCUGGCGGCAUGCUUUACACAUGCAAGUCGAACGGUAACAGGCCGCAAGGUGCUGACGAGUGGCGAACGGGUGAGUAAUGCAUCGGAACGUGCCCAGUCGUGGGGGAUAACGCAGCGAAAGCUGUGCCAAUACCGCAUACGAUCUAUGGAUGAAAGCGGGGGACCGUAAGGCCUCGCGCGAUUGGAGCGGCCGAUGUCAGAUUAGGUAGUUGGUGGGGUAAAGGCCCACCAAGCCAACGAUCUGUAGCUGGUCUGAGAGGACGACCAGCCACACUGGGACUGAGACACGGCCCAGACUCCUACGGGAGGCAACAGUGGGGAAUUUUGGACAAUGGGCGCAAGCCUGAUCCAGCAAUGCCGCGUGCAGGAAGAAGGCCUUCGGGAUGUAAACUGCUUUUGUACGGAACGAAACGGUCUGGGUUAAUACCCUGGGCUAAUGACGGUACCGUAAGAAUAAGCACCGGCUAACUACGUGCCAGCCGCCGCCGUAACAC